rnacentral:rRNA from 1 species
GCAAGCGUUAUCCGGAUUUAUUGGGCGUAAAGCGAGCGCAGGGCGGUUUUCUAAGUCUGAUGUGAAAGCCUUCGGCUUAACCGAAGAAGUGCAUCGGAAACUGGAUGACUUGAGUGCAGAAGAGGGCAGUGGAACUCCAUGUGUAGCGGUGGAAUGCGUAGAUAUAUGGAAGAACACCAGUGGCGAAGGCGGCUGCCUGGUCUGUAACUGACGCUGAGGCUCGAAAGCAUGGGUAGCGAACAGGAUUAGAUACCCUGGUAGUCCAUGCCGUAAACGAUGAGUGCUAGGUGUUGGGAGGGUUUCCGCCCUUCAGUGCCGGAGCUAACGCAUUAAGCACUCCGCCUGGGGAGUACGACCGCAAGGUUGAAACUCAAAGGAAUUGACGGGGGCCCGCACAAGCGGUGGAGCAUGGUGGUUUAAUUCGAAGCUACGCGAAGAACC